GUGCUGCUGAAGAGUCCCAAACUAGGACGAAACCGCUGACUGUCCAGUAC
rfam:Trichobilharzia regenti genome assembly, scaffold: TRE_scaffold0008762